ACUGAUAUGAUACAAUUGAAUUGAUUCCUUAACAUCUCAUAAUGGGGAAUCACGUGAAAGUUUUUACAAAAAAAUUCAAAGAAAACAAAUGAAACAAACAAUUACAUGAAAUAUAGUACGUUCAUGUGAAGCAACCAAAGUUUUAGAAAUCUAAAAAAUAAGCCUAGCCUCGAAUGCAUCACCAGAAUAACCUUUAGAUACUUGACGAGCCUUUGGAAUCCUUUUCACACCAAACUUGUUAUCAGUGUUCAAUGCCCCUCCUACAUUACCAGCCAACUUCAGCAUAAAGUUCAUAUAAGUAUUCUUGAUUUUUGUCACCAUCUUAUCAUCCAUCUUAGCUUUGGACUUGUUCUGAUCUUCCAAUCCCUACGUGGACUUCUCAUCCGUAUGAUCUGCAUCUUCUUCCGUCGGCCGGGGGUGGUUGUGCCGUAGUCGAGGCGCCGGUAGCCCCGUCGGCUCAAGUACCUUGUUAUUUACAUGGUUUGAAAUGCUUGAACUUGGUGGAGGACGUCUGGUGAAGGAAGAUGAUGUUUAUGAUCACUUUAUGCGAAUGAAUAGAGAUUAUUGCUUGGAUUAAUUAUGCUUGUGUUAUAUAUAAGAGAAAAAAAAAAUAAAGAAAUUAGGGUUAAAUAUGUUUUUGAUCCCUAUAAAUAUACCAACUUUUUGUUUUAGUCCCUUUAAAUUUUCCUUCAACUUUUAGUCCCUAUAAAAUUUUCAAACACUACUUUUGGUCCCUAUUUUUAAGUUAAUUUUAGUAUUUUUUUUUUUAAUGAAAUUAUGGAGAAAUGUGUAGAAUAUUGUAAAAAUCUUUCCAAAAAAAAUUUAGAAUUUUUUAACAAAACAUAAAUUUAAUAUGAAUUUUUAACCAUAAAAAAUAUAAAAAUUCAUAUUAAACUCAUAUUUUGUUAAAAAAUUUUAAUUUUUUUUGGGAGAGAUUCUUAUAAUAUUAUGAAUUUUUCUGCAAAAUUUUAUUAAAAAAUAUGAGUUUACUUUAAAGGAGGGAUAAAAAAUGAAGAUGGAAAAUUUUAGAGGGAUUAAAAGUUGAAGGAAAAUUUUAGAGGGAUUAAAACGAAAAGUUGGUAUAUAUAUUCAUAAGGAUGAAAAUCAUAUUUAACCAAAAAAAAUUAUAGCACGUUUAAUUUUCUCAAAACAAAGAAAUCGGAUACACAGCGUAAUUGUGCAUUAUAAAAAGAUAUAAUAGAUCCAGAAGUCCUAGCUCAACUGGUAAAAUGCCGAAAUUGUUAGGCCGGAUGCCAUGACCGGGGUUCGAACUCCGGUACCUCCACUUAUGUGUGUGAGUUUAUAAUGGCUUUGCCAUUUCGUCUAUCUACCAAAAAAAAAAAAAAGAUAUAAUAGUAUGUGUGAGUGAAACAAGUAUGACCAAGACCAACCGUCUUUUCUUCCUUCCUUCCUAGAAAUGGCGAGUGGGAAAGUUAUCUCGCUUUAAUGCUAUCAACAAAUGAGAAACAACAAAUGAAUUUGCAUGCUUUUCUUCUAGAUGCUUUGACUUUCAAUUUUUUUUAUAUUUAUCAUUUAAAUAAUGAAUUGAUUGAGUUUAAAAUUUACUAUGAGUAUAAAUGAGAGAAUUGAACGGGGGUGUUCAUGUGUUGGGUGGGUCUCCCUACUCAACCAAAAAAUUGGAUUGGAUUGAAUUGAGUGAUUAAUACAAAUCCAUUUUGAUUAGUUUAAGUGAGUCACAUUAGGUAAGUGAGUCAACAAAGUUGCAACUUGUUAAACCAACAUAAAUAUAAUCUUACUAUAAACGAAUCGAGAUUAAAUUGCAUAGACUAAUCUCUUGCGUCUUAUGUGACCCAACGACAACAAACUCUUCCUAAGAGUUUUAACGUUGCUGCAUGUCUAAGGUUGGAUUCGAACUUAUUAAGACCUUAGUUAAGUUAGAAGAGACUUGUGUCUUUUGGGUAAUUCAUGAAUCAUUUUCGUCAUUUAUACAUAAGUCUAAUUUUUUUUUCCCCGAAUAGUUUAGUAGUUAGAAAUUAAUCCCUUUAAUGAAUAAGUGAGAAUCUAAGUUUCAAACUCCAACCUCUACAUACCGCAACAUUCUUGUGAAUUGAAUUAUGCUUACGGAGACGCAUAAAACUAACUCUAUUGGUAACUAUUUGCCAAAAUUUUAUAUAUAUAUAUAUAUAUAUAUAUAUAUAUAUAGUGAAAAAGAAUGUGUGAGAGAACCAUAUUUUAGUGAAAAAGAAUGUGUGAGAGAAUCUAUUUACUACUCUAAUGUAAUUCUUAUUAACUUGUCGACUGUUACAAUUUUCUCUCAAAGCACAAUUUCUUUCUUGGAUUAUUUUUGUUAACUUUCUAGUUCUCAUGUGAAAAAGGAGUCUAGGUAAUUUAGAGUCAAGUUCAAAGGUAAUAAAGUCCGAUAAAAAAUUAUGUCACCCAAAAAUUGAAGUCACAAACUUUUGGUUACACAAUAGAACAUUUGAUAAAACUGAUUUUUUAUAGUAAACUAAAAUAUCUAAGGUCAAUAUAAUUAAAAUCAACAUGUCUUUUCUUAAUAAAAUGAUAGAUAUAAUAUAAAAGCAACUACCACUUUUUAAUCACGCUUCCAAGCAUAUGGUGAUAGUAUAGUAUUGAAACAUGAUAUAAACAUAUUUUAGUACAGUUGAAAAACAUUAGAAAGAGAGUAAUCCAUCAACCCAUUUUGGAACAUAGAUAUAUCAGUGCCGUACAAAGUGAAUAAAUAUUUUUUUUGCCAACUUUGACCAUUCCAAAAUUCCACAAUCUAGACGUUUACAUAAUUAGAGUUGACAAAAAAAAAAAAUACUCUACCCUCAAUUACAAAUGAUCUUUCAUCAUACAAAAAUGUAUUUUUCUCAGUUAAAUCAAUAAAUCAUCAUAUUUCAUUUGAUUUAAUGGUAAGAUUUAUUGAUUCAGUGAUGAAAACUAACUUAUACAUCGAACAAUAAAAAUAUAAAAAUAUGAUACAGUUGAAUUAAGUAAUUAACACAUCCUAAUAGGGAAAUGGGAAUCACGUGAAUUUUUUUACAAAAAUUCUAAGAAAACAAAGAAACAAACAAUUACAUAGAAUAUAGUUCAUGUGAAGCCACCAAGGUCUUAGAAAUCUCAAAUAUAAGCCUAGCCUCAAACGCAUCACCAGAAUAACCUUUAGACACUUGACGAGCCUUUGGAAUCCGUUUCAUACCAAACUUGUUAUCAGUGUUUAAGGCCCCUCCUACAUUACCAGCCAACUUCAACAUAAAGUUCAUAUACGUAUUCUUGACUUUUGUCAACAAUUUCAAUGGUGAUCUUAUCAUCCAUCUUAGCUUUGGGCUUGUUCUGAUCUUCCAAUCCCUACGUGGACUUCUCAUCCGAAUUACCUGCAUCUUCUUUCGUCGGCCGGUGGUGGUCAUGCCAUAGUCGAGACGCCGGUAUCCCCGUCUGCUUAAAUACUUCUUUAUUUCCAUGUUUUGAAUACCUUGAACUUGGAGGAGGUGGUGGUGGUGACUGGUGAGUGAAGAUGAAGUUUAUGAUGGUUUUCUCUUUUAUGGGAAUGAAUAGAGAUUGUUGUUUGGAUUAACUAUGCAUAUGCUUAUUGGAUUAUAUAUAAGAGAAAGAUUAAAUAAAUAAUACCACGUUUGAUUUGCUUGAAACAUAGCAAGCGAAUGCAUGACGUAAUUGUGCAUAUAUAAAAAAAAUAUACAAAGGGGCUGCAUUUGAAAAAUAAAGUCAAUAAACAACACUUUGACCCUAAAUAAUGUGUGAGUGAACAAAUAUGACCAAGACCAACCGUACUGUACCAUCAACAAAUGAAUUUGCAUUCUUUUCUUCGAGAUGCUUUGAGUUUCUAUGUUUUAAAUUUAACUUUUUAAAUAAUGACUUGAUUGAGUUUGAAUUUGACUAUGAAUGAGAGAGGUCCCUAUGAAGGUUUUGAUGUUUGCUUGGCGUUUUUUUUUUUUUAAAAUAGAUUGUCAACUAGGACGAAUUUAUUUCAAAGAAGGAUUAUUUAUUACUCACGAAAAAUCUCAAUUUUGUGUUAGUGGGUGUGGCUUGCAGAAAUUCGAGAAUCAUUUAUUCUUGACUUAUGGUCUAUUUGGUCUACUGAUUUAGAGUACAUUCAACGGAUCCUUCUACCAUUGUGGAUUAUUUUCUUCAGUUUGGCACCUCUUCAUGUUAUGCAACAUCAAGGCGCUCAUUCAUGAUUUUGAUAUGGUUUGCAAGUUAUUGGGUGAUUUGAAAGGAAAGAAAUGAUAGGCUAUUCAGAGGUAAAGACCAUUCCCCCGUUCAGCUCUUUGGAGAAUAUUAAGCUUUUUUCUUUUUGUUGGUUUAGAGCUAAAUUUGUUGUUAUACUUUUUAUAAUUGGUACCAAAAUCCUUUUGUAUGUAUGCGUGGGGAUUGGCUAAUUGUUGGUUCGUUCUGUUGAUACUUUGUUGCAUUUUUUUUUUUUUUUGGCUUUUUUCUCUGGUAUACCUUGUGCUAGGAGGAUAGAGCUAGUAGUAAUUUAUUUCAUUUUGAUUUCUUAAAAAAAAUUGACUAUGAAUGUAAGUAAAUGAGAGAAUCAGGUAGAUGUGUUCAUGUGUUGGGUCGCCCCGACUCAACCCAAAAAAUUGAAUUGAAUUGAAUGAUCAAUACAAUUUAUUUUGAUUAGACUCAACUCUCAACUUAAGUUAUAUUGGGUUAGGUGAUUAGUCAACCAAGUUGCAACUUGUGAAACCCAUACAAUUAUAACUCUACGUGAGUUUUAGUAUUUUCAAAUUAUAUAAUUCGAAAACAUCAGACCUUGGAAAAAUAUAGAAAAGUUUGUCUUACCAUUUGUAUACCUACGAAUAUUUAACAAAACAUUCAUAAACUUCAAGAUUUGACUAACAAAAACAUAAAUAAUUAUAUUAAAAAAAUCAUACGUGUUUAGUUCCCUAAUAAUAUACAUUUCAACCAAUCUUGGGAGAGGUCUAUGCUACCCGAAUCAACUCUUUAAGAUAUCAUCUUCAAAUUUACUACACGUACAACCUUUUUAACAUUUUCAUUAUUCUCUAGGUUUUCGACUAUCACCAUGUGGUGUUUUAUUUUGGGGUGUUUUUUUCUAGGGGCUUGAUUGCCGCAUUUUUACGUGCCCUUUGUGGUUUUCUCUAGCUUUCCCGUUCUUCUUGUGUAGUGUGUAGCUUUUAAUAAUAUGAUGUUAAAAAAAAAAAUCUAUCAUCACAUCAUCAUCUUCAACUAUCACAUUAUCCGCAUGCCGCAACACGACUAAGUACAUUAUAACUGUUGAACUUGUUAAGUUUCUUGAUCAUGAAAAAAUUAGUACUUGGGAUGAUAUGUUGAAAUGAGUUCAAGAUGAAGCAACGAAAUUAAGGUUUAUUAUUGUUAUGACAAAAUUAGAUCAUGAUUUAAAUUAGAAGAAAUCAUACACUUGUAUUGGGAUGUGAAUUGAGGGGUAUAAACAAAAAAUACAAUAAACAAUUAAGACACAUGAUCCAUAAAAUGUAAGUGUCUGUUCAAAUUGCAACACUAUCUUUUGUGUUCAGGUGUAUGAAAAGUUACCGUAAUGUGUGAAAAGCACAAUCAUGAGACAAUGAAAAUAUGAUACAAUUGAAUCAAUUGCAUAACACCCUCUAAUGGGGAAAUGAGAAUCACGUGGAAACUCUUACAAAACUUCAAAGAAAACAAAGAAACAAGCAAUUACUACAUGGAAUAUAGUUCAUGUGAAGCAACCAAGGUCUUAGAAAUCUCAAAUAUAAGCCUAGCCUCAAAUGCAUCACCAGAAUAACCUUUAGAAUUAGACACUUGACGAGCCUUUGGAAUCCGUUUCAUACCAAACUUGUUAUCAGUGUUUAAGGCCCCUCCUACAUUACCAGCCAACUUCAACAUAAAGUUCAUAUACGUAUUCUUGACUUUUGUCAACAAUUUCAAUGGUGAUCUUAUCAUCCAUCUUAGCUUUGGGCUUGUUCUGAUCUUCCAAUCCCUACGUGGACUUCUCAUCCUUAU
rnacentral:lncRNA from 1 species